UCGAUCUAGGUAGGCUGCGAUGCCCUGUUCUUGAUCUGGCUCAUGCGGUGUUGGCGGGUACUAUACUACGAUAUGCCCUCUCCUCCUGCUGCGGUGGCUGACUCGUCUGAGAAGCUCCGGACUUGGGGAUCUGUGAUCUGGGGUUGGGAGAAAUCCCUUCUUCACGAUGGCCGAGGCUGACAAUGUUGACUCCCGCGGGUGCCGUCCCCUCCCUGAAGGCGUUGUCUUGGCCCUGAUCCUGUUAGUAGUAAUCUUGACUUGCAUAAACUGUUAGCUGCAUGCAGGAGCGUGGAUCACGGAAUUAGUUGGCUUGGUGAAUCCAAGUUUGUUACCUAGUUGGGCUCGGUAGAGGAUAAGCACUACGAUGGAGUCGUGGCCGGGUCGUGCGUCUGUGCAUGGUUCGUGGCUGGUGUGGCUGGCCAUUGAGUGCGUGGGUGGUGGCCGUGAGUGCCGCAGGAAGCAGUUGCUAGGCGCCGUGGGUAUAAAAGGCCAUGUAAUCACUUCGUUCUGGGUGUAGCUCCCAGCCGUGAUGUAGCCUGUGUGCUCAAUAUAAAGGAGGUGUUUGGGCGCCCGGGCGUUCGUCGCCGGGAAAAAAGUGUGCUUCUUCUUCCACCUCCGUUCGGCGUGUGAGAGAGAGAGAGAGAGAGCGUGUGGCAACAACAAUUGGUAUCAUGAGCUUGGUAUCUUGGGCGUGCUUGCCGUGCCGAAGGCGUGGCAGCGAUGGCGGCGCUCGCCGGCAGCUGCGCGACGGAGCUCCGGGCCGUGUGUCGGCCCAUGGAGGUGGGCGACGCUGUGGCCGUCAUGGCGCAUGGCGGAGGCGGCGGGCGGUGGCGUCGUAUGUGUGGCGACCACGGAGGCGCUGCGUGGUGGCGCGGCGGCGCAGCACGGCGUGGCGGUGUGGAGGCACUGCAUGGCGGCAUGGAGGCCGCGGCGGUGCAGGGCAAUAAGCCGCGGCGGCGAGCCGGGCGCGACCGGUGCGUGUUAUGGGUUCGCACUGGACGCGUCGGGACCGCGGGCGCGCGGUGAGCGUCUGGUGCGGUUGGGCUCAUCGGGCGCGUCGGAUGCGCGCGGGACGCACUGGUGUGGUCGGGCUCGUCGGGCGCGUCGGGUGCGCGCGGGAUGUGCGGGACGCACUGGGGCGGUCGGGCGCGUCGGGUACGCGCGGGACCUUCGGGGCGUCGAGGGACGUUAGGCGUGUGUCGCCGGCGGAGAAGAAGCUCGGCGUGUGUCACCGAAGCCGUGACCCAGCCCGUGGACCCGACUUGGCGCACCGACGCCGGUCGCAUCCUGCUCCGUCACGACUCCUAACGAGUUCACAGCGCACCUUCGUGAUAUCUUCUUCCCUCUCAUCAUUUCUGUGAUGCCGUGCCCAUCCCCACUACCGGAAUAGUCAGAUUCGUUGAAGGAAAUUUAUUGGAUUCCGUCCAUCUCGUCCACACGUUUCUGAGCAUAUCCUAGUUGAAGAUUCCCAACAGGUAGCAAUCAAGGACCGAGCUCGUACAUCGUCUAGUAUAGUCCUCCUGGCUUUCUUAUUCACAAUAAUUGUUCUUUCGACAUCCACACAAACUAACCAAAAAUACUGACAAUGGAGGCGACCACGCUGACGAGCAUUGACAAGUCCCGGAAUAGCCAAGCCAAAGCACGAGGUCCCUCCCUCCAAAGUUCAAACCAGGCCCAUCCUUGCAAAGCAUGAGGCCUCGGGUGCUGCUCGUCGCGUUUGCCGUCCUCGCAGCACUGCCCCUCGCCCACAGCCAAGUGGCGAACCCAUGGCCGUCCUGCGACAACUGUGACUCGUGCACCAAGUCCAACUCUCCGGGGUGCACGCGUUGGAAUUACUUAAGCUCCUGGGUUUUUUACCGUCGACCAAGUGCAAGAGCUGUGUCAUGUCCGCCAUCAGGCCACAAGAGCUUCCAGUGCACAAACCGCAUCAACGAUUUCUGCGAGAGCUGCUGCACGCCGGCUGCUCAGAGCUUUAGCUCCCUUUGCAUCUGGAUUGAUGCGGAGAAGAAAUGAACGUUACAAUAAGCGCACAAGAGCAUAGUCUAUGCUCAGAAUCUUCAGUUGAACCUUUUGUGUAGUUUGUUAAAAAAUAUCAAUCCCUAUGUAAGUUUGGUUUUAAAAGUUUCAGUAUCGUAUUCACGGAGAAGAUAAUUUGUCAUGAAAUGAACUAUGGAUUUUUGGA